AACAAGGAAUUCUCUCUCUAGCAAAACUCUUCUUUAAAAAUGAAGGCAAGUGAUAUGGGAAACCACAGCAAAUUUUGAUCAGAAGAGUAAUAUCAACUAACUCCACUUGGACCGCAUGGAAACGAGGAAGGAGAAUACUACAGCAACCUGGAAGCCAGUGAAAAAUGAUGGCAACACUAUCUAAGAUGGUAAAAAAUUGACGAAGAAAAGCUCAUUUCGAACUGUUGAGGAGAGAAAUGUAUUUGCAGAGAGAGCAUGAAAAAUCAUGAACCACUCCAUGGGUUUUGCCUUGUGCAAGUGGAAGCAAGGGAAGAAGAUAAAGAGAUGUUUUUAUGGGGCUUCUCUACUUAACACAAUCCUGAGAUUUAACACAGGAUGGAAAAGAAGGCAUUAUAAAAUUUCAGUAAGGACUGUGACCUCUAGAGAGCAGAGGCUGUAUCUUUUUCAUUUGCAUAUUCUGAGCAUCUAUUACAAUGCUUCAUACAUAUAUAGUGUCUCACUACAUAUUAAUAUUUAUUGUUCAAUAAAUGAAUCCAUGAACUCAUUUUAUGUGAAACUAUGGAAAGUAGGACAAUCUCUCCUACAAGAAAUAU
rnacentral:lncRNA from 1 species